CUACGUGCCAGCAGCCGCGGUAAUACGUAGGUCCCGAGCGUUGUCCGGAUUUAUUGGGCGUAAAGCGAGCGCAGGCGGUUAGAUAAGUCUGAAGUUAAAGGCUGUGGCUUAACCAUAGUACGCUUUGGAAACUGUUUAACUUGAGUGCAAGAGGGGAGAGUGGAAUUCCAUGUGUAGCGGUGAAAUGCGUAGAUAUAUGGAGGAACACCGGUGGCGAAAGCGGCUCUCUGGCUUGUAACUGACGCUGAGGCUCGAAAGCGUGGGGAGCAAACAGGAUUAGAUACCCUGGUAGUCCACGCCGUAAACGAUGAGUGCUAGGUGUUAGACCCUUUCCGGGGUUUAGUGCCGCAGCUAACGCAUUAAGCACUCCGCCUGGGGAGUACGACCGCAAGGUUAAAACUCAAAUGAAUUGACGGGGGCCCGCACAAGCGGUGGAGCAUGUGGUUUAAUUCGACGCAACGCGAGGAACCUUACCAGCGUUUGACAUC
rnacentral:rRNA from 1 species